rnacentral:tRNA from 1 species
GCGCCUUUAGCUCAACUGAAUAGAGUGAAGGUUUCCUAAACCUUAGGUUACAGGUUUGAGUCCUGUAAGGCGCA